GAUAGCUCAGUUGGUAGAGCGGAGGACUGUAGAAUUAUAUUUUAAAAUUAUAGCUAUCUUUAGGUCGCUGGUUCAAUUUUUGUUUAAUCA